GACGAACGCUGGCGGCGUGCUUAACACAUGCAAGUCGAACGGAAAGGCCCUGCUUUUGUGGGGUGCUCGAGUGGCGAACGGGUGAGUAACACGUGAGUAACCUGCCCUUGACUUUGGGAUAACUUCAGGAAACUGGGGCUAAUACCGGAUAGGAGCUCCUGCUGCAUGGUGGGGGUUGGAAAGUUUCGGCGGUUGGGGAUGGACUCGCGGCUUAUCAGCUUGUUGGUGGGGUAGUGGCUUACCCAGGCUUUGACGGGUAGCCGGCCUGAGAGGGUGACCGGCCACAUUGGGACUGAGAUACGGCCCAGACUCCUACGGGAGGCAGCAGUGGGGAAGAUUGCACAAUGGGCGGAAGCCUGAUGCAGCAACGCCGCGUGCGGGAUGACGGCCUUCGGGUUGUAAACCGCUUUCGCCUGUGACGAAGCGUGAGUGACGGUAAUGGGUAAAGAAGCACCGGCUAACUACGUG
rnacentral:rRNA from 1 species